rnacentral:rRNA from 1 species
CGAACGCUGGUCCCGUGCUUAACAAUACAAGUCACGGGGGCUCGCAAGAGCAACCGGCGAACGGGUGCCCAACACGUGAACAACCUGCCCUCGUGUGGGGGAUAGCCGGGCUAACGCCCGGGUAAUACCGCAUACGUUCUUUCUGGGGAGUCCUGGGAAGAGGAAAGCUCCGGCGCACGGGGAGGGGUUCGCGGCCUAUCAGCUAGUUGGUAGGGUAAUGGCCUACCAAGGCAACGACGGGUAGCUGGUCUGAGAGGACGAUCAGCCACACUGGGACUGAGACACGGCCCAGACUCCUACGGGAGGCAGCAGUGGG